rnacentral:sRNA from 1 species
CGGCGUGGGAGUAUUGCUCACAUUGUUGUAUAUUGUAUAUCACAACGCUCCUUUAUUUUACAUAGUAAAGAUGAAGUGUCUCAGUGUGGGCUAAGGUAGCUAGCUAGUUAGUUAACUACUGCAAACAGGACAGGCGUAUCUUGAUUCCUUUGCUGCUUCCACCUCCCAAAAUCAAUGACAACAUAAAAGAUGAAAUCAUGGAUCAACUGGAUCAAGAGAACGGUCUGUUUGAAUUCCUUUCCCUGCUUUGUCCCUCACUAUCUUACUUAUCCGCGGAUAAAGUGAUAAACGAGAAGAAAACAGGGGGGGGAAGUUCUCAAAAACCACAAAAAGUAAAACAGAGGAAAACAUGAAUAUAGCCCGGGUCAAUUCCAGGCUCUCAAACAAAUACACAAUCCAGCCAAUUCAAUCCUAAGUAUAUACAUACCUAAACACGUCGCAGAGCUAUCCCCAUACACCACCACAAGCGCCUAGUUGUAAAUGAAAAGACAGAGAAAGUACGUACUGUACAAAGGCAAAAGGCAAAAGGCAAAAAGGCAAAAGGAAUAACAGAAUCCCACAAUCGCAAUCAUCACACAUGAUACUGCAACAUAUUCUUCUUGAUCUCAUCCACAAUCUCCGCCGCCUCCACCGCACUCUUCGCCUCAAAGUCAUAUCUCUUCUGCUCACUCGCCGCGUUUCCCCUCAACACCACCACCCGGAAACUCUUCGGAUGCCGCCGGCUAACCUUCGACCCCACAACGUCAUUAAACGAUAUCGACGUCGUCUUGCUGUUCGAUUCGAAGAGCGUCUUGCCCGUCUCCGCCGGCAUGAUAUGCAUGUAGUCCAUGUCGAACGCGAGCACGCGCUGAUUCGACGCCGUGAACGACAUGGAUUGCUUGCGGAUGACGUUGUAGCGCCGGUAGUAGCCACCCAGGAGAUCCUGGGUGUGCGCGAGCGGGUGCAGCAUGCGACCGCCUCCCGUGCCACUGCCGCCCUUCUUGCCCUUCUUGGAACUGGCACUGUGAGAGGUCGUGUUUUCGACCAUUAGGGGCGCGUUGGGUGAGACGCUGACUGGGGAUCCGGUGAUGGAGAGUGGGCCCGUGCCGAAUCGGCGGCGGACAAGGUCCAGAUCUGUGAUACUGCCCAGGGCUUCUACGGUUCGGUCUAGUGGGGCGACGGUGUUGGACCCCAUGACUUUAAGGAGGUACUGGCCUUUGUCCAGGCCCCACUUCUUGCAGACGGAGUCUAGGAUUUCGGCGAUGUAGCUGUCUGUAGAUGUGUUCAUGGAGGUUGUUUGCGUUGCGUCUAGGUCAAUGUAUCUGACCUUCAAUGUCUUGGUGACGCCCAUUCUAGGUGUGGCGUAUGAUGUAGGUACCGCGGGGCGAUCGGCUGGGGUGAGAGUGCUAUCAUUCAACGCGGAUGAAAAUGGCUGGCCUAGGAUGGGGUUGAUCCUUCCAAGCAUCCUGUUUUUAGCGUUAUCCUGAUUGGCUUGCAUUAUCGGCAGAGUAAUUUCCGGCUCAUCGACAUCAUCAGCACUCGGCGUGGGAUACUGUUUCUCAUUCUCCGCGAAUUCAGCUGCCGUCGCCUUCACAAGUGCAAAUUCGUCAUAUGGCUUGCUCCUGGACCGUCCGCGCGAGGAAGGGGCGCGAUUGUUGUUGGAAGUAAAAUCAAUGAUGGGUCUACCUCUCGCUAGGCAUGGGAAAUCAUAGUCAACUUCGCCGUCCUCAAUCAUCCGGAGAUUCCACCGAUUUACAUUGAGCAUUUCUCCUUCAAGUGGCGGCUUUCGGCGUUCUUCCAUAUAUCUCCAUAGGCCCAGCCCGAUAGCUUGGGCAACGGUAACUGGACCAGGGUGAUCUAAAUCCUUCGAUUCUCGUACAAUUGGCACAUCUAAAGGCUCAUCUGGUUGGGAGGACGACGGAAUAAAGAAAUUGAUGUAUAGUGGAGUUGUGUUGGAUCCUCUGCCCGAUAGCGCAGCAUAUAUCUCCAAAGGGUUGGCAGGCGCCUUCUUUCGUGCUCGGAGCGCUGUAGACAAAAGACUGAUGGGCUCAACGGUGCUGAUGGGCCGAGGCGGUGGAAGUACAUUUAGCUCCGGUGAAGUAGUCGUUUGUUUCUGUUUCCUGGGUGAACUACCCUGUGAUUCGAGAGUCAACGGCAGUUUAUCGGAGAUCAUUGGCGAUGCCGAGUCUAACGAUCCGACGCGAUCCAGCAAUGAUCCCGAUCCAGCAGUGCCCCCGAAUUCAGAAGAAAGAACAGAUCC